UACGGAGGGUGCAAGCAUUAAUCGGAUUUAUUGGGCGUAAAGGGCGCGUAGGCUGAGAUGUAAGUCAGAUGUGAAAUCCCUGGGCUCAACCCAGGAACUGCAUUUGAAACUACAUCUCUCGAGGAUAGGAGGAGAAAAUGGAAUUCCACAUGUAGCGGUGAAAUGCGUAGAUAUGUGGAGGAACACCAGUGGCGAAGGCGGUUUUCUAUCUUAUUCCUGACGCUGAGGCGCGAAAGCAAGGGGAUCAAAC
rnacentral:rRNA from 1 species